rnacentral:rRNA from 1 species
UACGUAGGGUGCGAGCGUUGUCCGGAAUUACUGGGCGUAAAGAGCUCGUAGGUGGUUUGUCGCGUUGUCCGUGAAAACUCACAACUCAAUUGUGGGCGUGCGGGCGAUACGGGCAGACUGGAGUACUGCAGGGGAGACUGGAAUUCCUGGUGUAGCGGUGAAAUGCGCAGAUAUCAGGAGGAACACCGGUGGCGAAGGCGGGGUCUCUGGGCCGAUACUGACGCUGAGGAGCGAAAGCGUGGGGAGCGAACAGG